UCAGGGUCCUGUAUUAGUCAGUGGGUAGGUCCCAGUGUCUGCACUGUUGUCAGUACCAAUGAUUUCGGGAAUUUUGGGCCAAAAAGUUUGUGUUUUUUUGUGGAAAAGUCCGAAAACUUCUGACUUUUCGGGAAAAGGUCUGAAGUUUGCCUGAACCUAUAUUUUUGAAAAAUACGGUCCAUUCGGGAAUUCAGAGUUGCUCGCAUUUUUAUCUUAAAAAUACUGAAAUAAAUUCGGAGCAUGAUAAAUAACCCACCCCCUACAUGUAUUCAUGUGAAAUAUUAGGCUGUCACCCCUAUUUCUGUCGCUAAGAAGCUCCAAGGGGGCAUACAAGAAUUCUUAAAAUGUUUAAGGGUAAGUCUUUAUGCUGGUUUGUGUUGGUGGAAUUAUGCAAAGAUAUUGUACUAUGCCCUGUAUGCUAAGCCCUCAUGCUACUAAAACCGUAUGAUUAGGAGGUAGCGGAUGAAAAAUGAUAACUGUUAAGAAUACCAAUGAAAUGUUCUUUAUUGUGGCAGGAAAACAUACAGCAGAAUUUAUGAACAUUCAUUUCCAUACCACUUCUUUAUUCAGCAUUUGACAGUUUUAUGCAAACGUUUUAACUUCAUGCUGCUUAGCCCUCUGACUACAUUGACAUGUCUAAUAUUUUAUUACUGUGUUCCUGAAUUACCAGGGUCAUUAUGUAUAAAAUGGUUUUAAUUCUUAAUCAUCUUAUUCUCCACUAGGCCUUUUUCCCUCUUAAGGGAGUCAGUCGUCUGUCAACAAGCUAUUCAUUUAGUUCAUAUAAUACAAAAUGGCAAGCACUUCUAUCCUAUAUAUAGUAGCAGGUGCAAGUGUUCUUUCCAGCAACUACAAACAAUUUGGGGGCUAUUCAAAAGACCACUGCAGACAGUUUCCUUUCCGUCGGAGGCAUGGAGAAUUGAUGAACCUGUUCCAAAGGAUUUGAAAAGUUUAACUGAAUUGAAAAUGUAGAUUAGUGAAAAAAAAUAAGAAAAAAAAAUGAUGACAACUUGGCCUGCAUUACCUCAGUUGAUUAAUUUAUAAGCAUUCUGGUCAAUGAUUGUAACCAACAACUAUGCAUAGUGGAAACCUAAUGGGAUCCAUCUUUCAAGAUUACAUGAAGUACAUCAUUUGAUUUAUUUCAUACUUUUCCAAAACUGCAUUUAAACAAUACAAAUUCAGCAUUAGUCAUGCUGGCUGGAACUGCACGGUAAAGAAGUGA